UACGGAGGGUGCAAGCGUUAUCCGGAUUUAUUGGGUUUAAAGGGUGCGUAGGCGGUUAUAUAAGUCAGCGGUGAAAUUUUUCGGCUCAACCGGAAACAUGCCGUUGAUACUGUAUAGCUUGAAUAUGGUUGCUGUGAGUGGAAUGUGUAGUGUAGCGGUGAAAUGCUUAGAUAUUACACAGAAUAUCGAUUGCGAAGGCAACUCACAAAGCCAUUAUUGACGCUGAGGCACGAAAGUGUGGGGAUCAAACAGGAUUAGAUACCCUGGUAGUCCACACUGUAAACGAUGAUAACUAGCUGUCGGCGAUAGAUAGUCGGUGGCCAAGCGAAAGCGAUAAGUUAUCCACCUGGGGAGUACGACCGCAAGGUUGAA
rnacentral:rRNA from 1 species